rnacentral:rRNA from 1 species
UACGAAGGGGGCUAGCGUUGUUCGGAAUUACUGGGCGUAAAGCGCGCGUAGGCGGUUUUGCAAGCCAGAGGUGAAAUGCCUGAGCUCAACUCAGGAAUGGCCUUUGGGACUGCGAGGCUUUGAGGACUGGAGAGGUGAGUGGAAUUCCCAGUGUAGAGGUGAAAUUCGUAGAUAUUCGCAAGAACACCAGUGGCGAAGGCGGCUCACUGGCCCGAUACUGACGCUGAGGCACGAAAGCGUGGGGAGCAAACAGG